rnacentral:rRNA from 1 species
UACGUAGGGUGCGAGCGUUAAUCGGAAUUACUGGGCGUAAAGCGAGCGCAGGCGGUUCGUUAUGUCCGAUGUGAAAGCCCCGAGCUCAACUUGGGAAUGGCAUUGGAAACUGGCGGGCUGGAGUGUGGCAGAGGGGGGUGGAAUUCCACGUGUAGCAGUAAAAUGCGUAGAGAUGUGGAGGAACACCGAUGGCGAAGGCAGCCCCCUGGGCCAACACUGACGCUCAGGCACGAAAGCGUGGGGAGCAAACAGG